GGUGAAUUCUACUCCCAAAAUGCACACCAAUUUUCCUAUUUUGUCUAUGAUAGAUUGUCUUCCAGUGCUUAUGAUAAUAUUUAUGUUGGUUCCUUUUUGGGGCCAUGGUGCAGUGGAUUGGAUUUUGUUUGGUUUCUGCAAUUCUUGCUACAUUUAAUUAUAGUUCCUCUUGAGAAAAUGUAUUGUUCGAGAAAAAAAUUUUAGGUCUCCUAGUGUUCGUGAAUCUUGAAGCUCAAUAUAUCAAAUCUCAUAUGUCUGACGAAGUUGAUCUUCUCAACGAUGGCACAAAAGGAGGACAUAUAAUAAAUGCACAGUUGACGUUCAAGUGUUGUCAAAUUCCCGUUCUCAGUCACAUAAAAUUCCAAUCAAAUCCUUACAAACACACAUAUUGUACCUUUUGAGGUGAAACUUAGGGUGAUUUUAUGCUGUCUUUAAAAGAAAGUUCCAUUUUCUAGUCAACCGUGUCCAAUGUGUUAUAUUUUUGGGUGUCAACCAUAAGCAAGCAGUCUCUCUAAAUUAUGUAUACAUCCUUGGGGAAUUUUUGUGCUCUCCUAGCAAUAUGGUUACUUGUCAAGUUAGUAUUAUUUAUUGUCCCCAUUUUUGGUGUCACAUAUCAUGGGUCUCACUUGAAAUGGCAGAUAAAAACAAGUUAAGAGUACUCUCUUUCAAAUAUGAAAACAUAGACAGUUCAUAAAUAAUUGAUCCUCUCGAAGUAAGAAAACAUGAUUGUAUUUAAUCUUGUUGAAUAUCAUGGAUGGAAAUGACUAACCAUUGUAUAAUUGUUCAUAUAAGACUUUUUAAAUUUUUACCUCUAAAGUAUUUAUACGUUCAUAAAUGACUUCAAUACUGUACUACUUAACUUCAGCGUGGUUAUUGAGUUCUUAAUAUACUUUGUAUUCUUCUAAAUCUAUAUCUAAAUAUAAAACAUAUGCCAUUUACUCUCAUCCUACAUUUACUAAAUUUGCAGCGUCAUAUCCAUGUUUGUGCCGUGCGUGACAUCCGUGCUUGCAUCCAAAUCCAAGUUAAAUGAAUUGUUGGAUGCAAAUACUAUCCUAUGCUAAAAUGCCGUACAUGGUGUUUUCACAUUGUUCAAUAAGAAACUUGACCUCUCCUUUUCUAUGUGCAUUCAAGUACCUGAAUUGAAUGGUUUUUGUACAUAACAUCUUUUAUUUAUUCAAUCAACUGCAAAAAUUCAAACUUCCUUAUGUGGAAUUGUGGUUUGGUACCCUGCAUAUUCAUUUGAUGUUCUGGAUUUUUUUAUUUCUUUUUGUUCUGGAAUAUUUACUUUUUAAUUCAACGGAUAGUUCUCAAAUAGCAUAUAUGAAUCUGAUCUGAAAAGCGAUGUUCUCCUCUUGCUGCCUUUGACAAUUGUACUAUGUAUCAACAAAAGAUUGAUAUAUCAUCGAAAGAAGUGAAGAGUUGAAAAUUAAAACCCACUAUAAACUUGCUCAUGUAUUAAAGAUCGAUGUAUCUAUGGAGGAAGUGACAUCCAGAAUUGGAAGUUGAAAACACACUAUUACUAUUUUUCUGCAGAUGUGGAUUUGCACAGAGCCAAGAGGCAUACGAUAGUGCUGUUGAGGUGUUGUUCAGUACAUUAGAUAAGAUCGAUGCCCACUUGGCCACUAACCGUUACUUAUGUGGUGAUGCACUGACACUUGCUGAUAUUUGCUUGUUUACCACUUUGAUUCGCUUUGAUCUAGUAUAUAAUGUUCUAUUCAAAUGUACGAAGAAGAAGUUGAUAGAGUACCCUACUCUCCAUGGUUAUAUGCUUGACAUAUAUCAGAUUCCAAAGGUUGCAGCCACAUGCAACUUCGAUGCAAUCAUGGACGGUUACUAUCGCAUUCUCUUCCCUCUGAACCCCGGAGGCAUCAGACCAGCAAUGCCUUUGGGCUAUGCACAUGAAACCCUCAGCAAGCCACAUAAUAGGGAAAUGCUAUCAAAAACCAACAAAUUUCGUAGUGUCUCAGCUUCUUCAGUUGUAUAGCAAGGCAAUGCUUUCAAAAACCAACAAACUUAGUGACUAAUUCAGUUUCAUUUGUAUGGCCUCAUUACAGUGAAAUGCUACCCAAAACCGAAAUAUCUCACCAAGAUUGAGCUUCAUUUGUAUGGAAGUUUGUAAAUAACAGUGUUAAUAAUGUAUACAAAUACUAAAAUAUAUCAGAACUCAUUAGACAAAAUAGCUUUAGCCA